UGUAAGCAGUCUGUCUGGCACCGUUGCGGGCGAACGAUCGCACAAUACAAUAUUAUUAUUAUCAUUAUAAUAUUAUUAUAGUCUUAUUCCGUUCGGCGCAGUGUGCACACACAAACGACGUGCAAUUUUCGGGCUCUGAUCCUACUGCGGAACUCCGUCGGCGACACUACACCAUCCGAUAAUAUCAACAUGACUUACUACACGACCAGGUGCACUCCCACGGUCCGCCCGGCAGCCGAUUUCGACGCCGAAGCCGACGCCGCCGUACUUAGGGCAGCCAUGAAAGGAUUCGGUACGGACGAGCAGGCCAUCAUCGACGUGCUGGCAAGACGGUCCAACACUCAGAGACAGGAGAUCAAAGAAGCUUUCAAGACACUCUACGGAAAGGAUUUAAUCGACGAUCUGAAGAGCGAACUCGGUGGGAACUUCGAGAACGCCAUCGUCGCUCUGAUGACUCCACUUCCGGAGUUCUAUGCCAAGGAGUUGAAAGACGCCAUCAGUGGCGUGGGCACUGACGAAGAGGCCAUUGCCGAAAUUUUGGGCACUCUCAGCAACUUCGGAGUCCGAACCAUUUCCUCUGUCUACGAAAAACAAUACGGAAACUCGUUGGAAGACGAUUUGAAAUCCGACACUUCGGGAUCUUUCCAGAGGUUGUUGGUGUCUUUGUGCUGUGCCAAUCGCGAUGAAGACGUGGAAGUCGAUCGCAGCGCCGCAGUCGCAGACGCCCAGGCUCUAAUCGACGCAGGUGAAGCUCAAUGGGGCACGGACGAGUCGACUUUCAAUUCGAUUUUGGCCACCCGCUCCUAUCCACAGCUGAGAGCCAUUUUCGAAGAGUACGAGAACCUCACUGGCAAGGACAUCGUAGAGACUAUCAAGAACGAAACUUCCGGCGCUCUGGAACACGGCUUUUUGACCAUCGUGAAAAGUGCCAAGAAGAAGAGCGACUACUACGCCGACCAGUUGGAAGCUUCGAUGGCGGGCUUCGGCACCAGCGACCGUCAGCUGAUCAGGAUCAUCGUGGGCAGAUCUGAAAUCGAUUUGGGAGACAUCAAACAGUCCUACGAGACCAUUUACGGUACUCCGUUGGCCGACAGAAUCGCCGGCGACACCUCUGGGGAUUACAAGCGUCUGUUAUUGGCUCUCGUGCUCUAAUAAAGCUUAGAAAUGCAUGAGGAAAGGCACUUCAGUUCUUGCUUUAUACCUGUACCGACUUUUAAUUUCAUAGCGAUUGUGGUUCAGAUUACAAAAAUUUGCUUAUCACACUUGUGUCGCAAUAAUGUUUU
rnacentral:misc_RNA from 1 species